UCUCUGCUACCUGAUGGGCCCCAGCUUCCUCUCCAAUGCUGUUUACUGUUCCUACAUUGUCCCAGCCUAAUAUGCAGUCAGCCAGCUGUGGGGGACUCAGAAAGCUCAGGAUGACUCCCUCUCCUCUGCUGGCAGGAGCUGGCUGUCCAUUAAGUAGAAGGUUCCAGGGAAGAGGAGGGGCACUGGUUUCUGCUGCUUACUGUGCAGAUGAACCUUAAGGACUCUUCAGGGAAUGGAGCUAAAUAUGUAAAGUACUGAUUUUCCCCUGGAAAUAUUGCUCUGUCUACCUCCUUCUUGUGAUCUACCGGGUUGCCUAAUUUGUACCUAUAAAUC